rnacentral:rRNA from 1 species
UACGGGGGGGGCAAGCGUUGUUCGGAAUUACUGGGCGUAAAGGGCUCGUAGGUGGCCAACUAAGUCAUACGUGGAAUCCCUCGGCUUAACCGGGGAACUGCGUCUGAUACUGGAUGGCUUGAGGUUGGGAGAGGGAUGCGGAAUUCCAGGUGUAGCGGUGAAAUGCGUAGAUAUCUGGAGGAACACCGGUGGCGAAGGCGGCAUCCUGGACCAAUUCUGACACUGAGGAGCGAAAGCCAGGGGAGCAAACGGGG